UACGUAGGUGGCAAGCGUUGUCCGGAAUUAUUGGGCGUAAAGCGCGCGCAGGCGGUCCUUUAAGUCUGAUGUGAAAUCCCACGGCUCAACCGUGGAAGGUCAUUGGAAACUGGGGGACUUGAGUACAGAAGAGGAAAGCGGAAUUCCAAGUGUAGCGGUGAAAUGCGUAGAGAUGUGGAGGAACACCAGUGGCGAAGGCGGCUUUCUGGUCUGUAACUGACGCUGAGGCGCGAAAGCGUGGGGAGCAAACAGGAUUAGAAACCCGUGUAGUCC
rnacentral:rRNA from 1 species